rnacentral:lncRNA from 1 species
GGUGGGUUCUGAAUUAGAGAUGCCUUUGUCAACAUAUAAAAAGAUAAAUUAAAUUUAAGCUGUGGUUAAGUAAAAGAGAGAUUAAUAGUUUUUUAGACAAGUGGAGGACAUAAUCAUCAUGCUUCCUUUCACAUGUAAAUUCAUAAACCUUUUCAUUUACAAACUUUCCUCUUCAAAUUGUGGGUUUUAGUUAGAAAGAAAC